AGUCUAAGCUCAGCGAGCUCCCCAAAGACAAAACAGACAGCAAAAGAACCGCAACCACAGGAAGGAAGCCCAUUACCCCUACAAAUAUAGGGAAAUGCAAGGUGCUAGAAGAGUUACAAAACAAAGCUGUGACAUGAUAGCGGCCCCCAAACUUUGAACAUCAGUGCAAAUAAUGGAGAAGUGAUUUUGAAGCAAUCCCAAUUCCUAAUCCAACAACAUGCACGACACUGGCUGCUGUUGCUCUUUGAACCUUCAGCUUUUGGACUUGGGCGUGGGACAAAAUCAUGCAAAAUUUUGGUAAUACAAAUUACAAAGAGACGGGGCUUUCUUCAUUU